AGCAAGUUUGGUGAUGAGUUGAAACUUCAUUUCAACUAUGAUUCGCUAGACUUGUUCGUGUGCAAAUCGGUAUAGUGUUCUUAGAGCAUUGUAUCGAGUACCUCUGUCGCCAUGGCCUGAUGAAAAAUAUUAUUUUUGAACUGCAUAUUAAUGCUAACAUCAAUUUUAUU